GACGAACGCUGGCGGCGUGCCUAACACAUGCAAGUCGAACGGAAAGGCGCUGAUUUUGUGGGGUGCUCGAGUGGCGAACGGGUGAGUAACACGUGAGUAACCUGCCCUUAACUUUGGGAUAACUUCAGGAAACUGGGGCUAAUACCGGAUAGGAUCUACUGCUGCAUGGGGGGGGUUGGAAAGUUUCGGCGGUUGGGGAUAGAUUCGCGGGUUAUCAGCUUGUUGGUGGGGUAGUGGCUUACCAAGGCUUUGACGGGUACCCGGCCUGAGAGGGUGGCCAGCCGCCGUGGGCCUGGCAUAGGUACCAGUCUGCUACCGGAGGCAGAAAGGGGAGAGCUUGCACGAUGGCCUGAAGUCUGUUGCAACGACGGCGGGCGCGGGAUGCCGGCCUUCGGGUGGUUAACAGCUUUCGACUUUAAAGCACCCUUAUUGAAGGUAAUUUGUAAAGAAGCACCGGCUAACUACGUG
rnacentral:rRNA from 1 species